UACAGAGGGUGCGAGCGUUGUCCGGAAUCACUGGGCGUAAAGGGCGCGUAGGUGGCGGCCCAAGUCCAUGGUGAAAGCUCGAUGCUCAACAUCGAGUCGGCCACGGAUACUGGGUUGCUCGAGCACUGUAGGGGCAGAUGGAAUUCCGGGUGUAGCGGUGGAAUGCGUAGAGAUCCGGAAGAACACCGGUGGCGAAGGCGGCCUGCUGGGACAGUGCUGACGCUGAGGCGCGACAGCGUGGGGAGCAAACAGG
rnacentral:rRNA from 1 species